rnacentral:sRNA from 1 species
GCUGGGCAUUGUGGUGCAUGCCUGUAAUCCCGGCAGCUUGGGAGGCUGAGUCAGAAGGAUUGCGAGUUCAAAGCCAGCCUCAGCAACAGUGAGGUGCUUAGCAACUCAGUGAGAUCCUGUGUCUA